UACGACUACAUAUCAGGCAUAUCAAUAAGCGGAGGAAAAGAAACUAACUAGGAUUCCCUCAGUAACGGCGAGUGAAGCGGGAAUGAGCUCAAACUUUGAAAUCCUCAAGGUUUUACCUUGACGAAUUGUAGGUUUAAAGAAGUGUUCUCUGUUGGAUGUUUUGGUAAAAGUUCUUUGGAAUAGGACAUCAUAGAGGGUGAGAAUCCCGUAUUUGACCAUUACUUCCAGCUGUUGUGAUACACUUUCAAAGAGUCGGAUUGUUUGGGAAUGCAGUCCAAAAUGGGUGGUAAAUUUCAUCUAAAGCUAAAUAUUGGCGAGAGACCGAUAGCGAACAAGUACCGUGAGGGAAAGAUGAAAAGAGCUUUGAAAAGAGAGUUAAACAGUACGUGAAAUUGUCAAAAGGGAAGCGCUUGACACCAGUGUUGUUUUCUCGAAAAUCAAUUAAAAAGAAGUUGGAUUUUGUAUUGUUAAGACCUUAUCAGCUUACUGUACUUUUUUCUUGCUCUUUUUAAUGCACUUUUCGUUUAACAAGUCAACAUCAAUUUCUUUUGUUGUAAAAGGGUCAUUGGAAGGUGGCUUUCACUUCGGUGAAAGUGUUUAUAGCCUUUGGCUUCUACAAUCGGAGAGAUUGAGGUCUGCAGCGUAGAUCCUUCGGGGUUAGAUACGUAGAUGCUAAGUUAUAGUUUUUUAUAGACAACUUGUUGACUAUGAUUAAUCAUGUAGCUUACUCGUUUACGCUAUUUUACCUACGCUUAGGAUGUUGAUCUCUCACAGUCGAGC
rnacentral:rRNA from 1 species